AGUAGUUUCGUAUCCGUGGCUACGAGGACGACGCUGGCGGCGUGCUUAACACAUGCAAGUCGAACUGAAAGGCCUGCUUUGUGGGUGCUCGAGUGGCGAACGGUGAGUAACACGUGAGUAACCUGCCCUUGACUUUGGGAUAACUUCAGGAAACUGGGGCUAAUACCGGAUAGGAGCUCCUGCUGCAUGGUGGGGUUGGAAAGUUUCGGCGGUUGGGGAUGGACUCGCGGCUUAUCAGCUUGUUGUGGGGUAGUGGCUUACCAAGGCUUUGACGGGUAGCCGGCCUGAGGGGGUGACCGGCCACAUUGGGACUGAGAUACGGCCCAGACUCCUACGGGAGGCAGCAGUGGGGAAUAUUGCACAAUGGGCGGAAGCCUGAUGCAGCAACGCCGCGUGCGGGAUGGCGGCCUUCGGGUUGUAAACCGCUUUCGCCUGUGACGAAGCGUGAGUGACGGUAAUGGGUAAAGAAGCACCGGCUAACUACGUG
rnacentral:rRNA from 1 species